rnacentral:lncRNA from 1 species
UGAGAGACAUGUUUGAGGCUUUGGUCAAAGUCAUCACUCAAAAGUUCCGAACACUAGUUAACUCUCUUCUCAAUAGGAAAAAAGAAAAUCUUCCUUUGGAUAGAUUCAGGAUUCUGGGACCCUCCUGGAUAACCCUGUACUUUGGAAGACAACACCCUGGGGUAGACCUGGUAGUCAGGCUCUCCAGAGGGGAAAAGGGGACUAAAACAUCAUCUCAGAUGUUUGUCCCACACUACAGAAGCUGCGGCUCUCCUUGACAGACACUUGGCCAUUUCAGGGCAUUGUACGACUCUGUCGAGUAUUAGAGCAGCAUCUUCAGUUUGGAUGACAGAGCUGUAUGUUUCAGAGAACACUUAUCUUAGCCCACAUUCAGGUGAGAAGACACCAAAGGUAAUACUCUGCCCAGAACAUCCAUUGGAAUAAUGUCUAAAUUGGCUUCCGUGGCUAUUUAUCCAUUCUAUAAUUGACCUCCAUUCAGCUCUCUCCCAAUGAUGGGCAUGUUUUCCCAACAGUUUCCAUCAAGUCCAAGAUUGGCCCCACUCAUUACCAGGCUUGCAAUUGGUUUGGGUAUUUUUUUUUUCAAUUAAAAACAUGCUUAUCCAAAAUUGAAAAAAUAAAAAGUAAAAGAAGGGAAACUGUGCAUUUAUCCCAUGCAUGUAAUAAACUCUGCAAGAAGUUUAAACCCCCAUAGGUUUGCGGCACUGCAAAAUUGUUCAUGGGUCUAUGUAACAAAUGAUUCUCUGCCUUGACAAUCAUGUAUACAUAUCAAUUUCUAUCAUAAUGAUAAUGAGAUUGAUGACUUCUUGUUUUCCUCCAAUAAAGAGAAUUAAUCACCUUUGG